UAACGCAUGAGGUCUCCUACACGUCAGAGGUUUCGUGGAAAAUUUGGCUAUCGUAACUAUGGUUUGAGCUGGCAUACGAAUUGACUACUUUAGCCUCUGUUUAGUUUCACAAUAAGAUCACAUACUUGAAAGUUGUAUUCAAGGCAAUUGUCACCCUAAAUUCUCACUUUUUGCCGUUGUCCAUCUUCUCCAACAGCUAUCUAUCUGUCCUAGAGAAUGCUACGCCAAGCAUAAUUGGUUGGUAGCCAGCAUUUGCUUCUGUUAGAGAUCCUUUAUCAUAGUAACUACCUUCAACAUUGCUUCCCAAAAAGAGCUUGUUGAAAUUUUCAUGGCCUAGAAAACUCGAUUGUGCAUUGUUGUGGUGGACCAUUUAUGUGCGUGCAUGAUUCUUUCUUGGAACGGUGGUCCUUUCCAGGUGAAAUCAACAUUGCUGGUCUCCUUUUUCAGAAACAUUCAUCUCGUGGACUUGCAGGUCAUGUGUAACUUUAAGGUUGUUUUUUACACAAAGGGAUGCUUUGUAAAAGACUCUGACCUAAGAUAUAAGAGUUGCAAUGUGUAUGCAUAUAGUGGUUAGGAUCCAGAUUAUUGGUCCUAUUUUGAAGCAUGUGAUUUAAUUAAAGGCACUGAUACUGAGUUUGAGGCUAGUUCUGUGAAAAUAUGGUGGAAACAUGAGGGUGGUAUCUUUGAAGAACAUUUGAAACCUUUUAGGGAUAAUGGAAAUGUUGCGGAGUUAUCUAUGUUUGCAUUUGAAAAAAAUUGUGAAGUUGAGAUAUACACAGAGGCAAAACCAGUUACAAGAGAGACAACCUUUAUGGAUAAGGUUAGAGAGAAAGGCAAGGGGACUAAUUAUGAUCAAGAGGUUGAGAAUUGUAGUGAAAGUGAAGGUAAAUCUAGUGAUGAAUCUGUGAAGGAUGUUGUACGUCUGAGAUAUAUAUCCCGAAAAAGCUACCAAGCCGCCCACGUCAAAAUUGGUUCGACAUAAUAAGAUAGACCCGAGUUUGAGAAGCCCAACACACAUCCAAGACUUCCAAUCCAAAUGGAUCGAUAAAGGAAGAAGCAUGAAUAUCCAUGGUAUUCAAUACCUUUUAUUGAUGCAAGGCGACAAGGGAACCACAUCUAUAAUGGCCAUCAAGACAAUUCAAUAACUCCAUUAAAACACCAUACAUUAUAAAAAGACAUCUGAAAGAAGAUAGAUGAAGGCAAUAUUUAAACACAAUACCCUUAUAUCACGGCGCCCUCUCCCGAACAGCUCUGGGGAGGUUAUCAAUAUUGUUCUUCAAGAACAGUUGGCACCGUUUGUGGAAACCGAUAAAACUCCCUGACCAUAAAUUUAAUCCUUGUAACAUUAAUAUCAUUGACGAUAAAGAGGUAUACUACGAUGAGGUAAAUUUGUUAUUAUUUUUACAGGAUUCAGUGUCAUUAUUAGAGUUUUAAUUUCAUAAAAAUACAUUACAUUGAUGUUUGAAUGAUAGAUGUAUAUUACAUUACUGUCGAAAAUUGUUGACAUAUUAUUGGGAUAUUAUAUAUAAUAUCAAAUAUAAUCAAAUCUAAUAAUAUCAAAUAUAAUUCAAGUUGUGUAAGUCAAAGCUCAAUCAGGAUCGUAUUUAAAUAGUCAUAGUUUGUAUCAUUACUUGUACAAUUCAAUUCAAUAGUAUAAUCCUUAUUUCCUUUAUUCUCUUUAUUCUCUCCUCCUUAAAAGUGCCUCAUGCACUAACAAAUUGGUAUCCAAAGCUUCCAGUCAUUGUUCUUGAUCGUAUUUUCAAGAACUUCACGCUAGUGGUCGUGUUUCUAAGGAACGUGAAUCAAUCGCUGCAAAGAUGAAUGGUACUAAUGACAUUCUGAAUUCUCUUUCAAUGCUUGACGGCAAGAAUCAGA